GACGAACGCUGGCGGCGUGCUUAACACAUGCAAGUCGAACGGUGAACGAGGGAGCUUGCUCCCUCCGGAUCAGUGGCGAACGGGUGAGUAACACGUGAGCAAUCUGCCCCGAACUCUGGGAUAAGCGUUGGAAACGACGUCUAAUACCGGAUACGACGCGGGAGGGCAUCCUCUCCGCGUGGAAAGAACUUCGGUUCGGGAUGAGCUCGCGGCCUAUCAGCUUGUUGGUGAGGUAACGACUCACAAAGGCGACGACGGGUAGCCGGCCUGAGGGGGGGACCGGCAAAACGGGAACUGGGACACGGCCCAGACUCUUAGGGAGGGAAGCGGUGGGAAUAUUGCACAAUGGGCGCAAGCCUGAUGAAGCAACGCCGCGUGAGGGACGACGGCCUUCGGGUUGUAAACCUCUUUUAGCAGGGAAGAAGCGAAAGUGACGGUACCUGCAGAAAAAGCACCGGCUAACUACGUG
rnacentral:rRNA from 1 species